GACGAACGCUGGCGGCGUGCUUAACACAUGCAAGUCGAACGGAAAGGCCCUGCUUUUGUGGGGUGCUCGAGUGGCGAACGGGUGAGUAACACGUGAGUAACCUGCCCUUGACUUUGGGAUAACUUCAGGAAACUGGGGCUCAUACCGGAUAGGAGCUACUGCUGCAUGGGGGGGGUUGGAAAGUUUCGGCGGUUGGGGAUGGACUCGCGGCUUAUCAGCUUGUUGGUGGGGUAGUGGCUUACCAAGGCUUUGACGGGUAGCCGGCCUGAGAGGGUGACCGGCCACAAUGGGACUGCGAUACGGACCAGACGCCUACGGGAGGCAGCAGUCGGGAAUAUGGCACAAUGGGCGGAAGCGUGAUGCAGCGACGUCGCGUGCGUGAUAACGGCCUUCGGGGUGUAAACCGCUUUCGCCUGAGACGAAGCGUGAGUGACGGUAAUGGGUAAAGAAGCACCGGCUAACUACGUG
rnacentral:rRNA from 1 species